rnacentral:rRNA from 1 species
AACGAACGCUGGCGGCGUGCCUAACACAUGCAAGUCGAGCGAGAAAGUCCCUUUCGGGGGAUGAGUAAAGCGGCGCACGGGUGAGUAACACGUGGGCAAUCUGCCCGAUAGACCGGAAUAACCUUCCGAAAGGAGGGCUAAUACUGGAUAAGACCACGGGAGCUUCGGCUCUUGAGGUAAAAAGGUGGCCUCUGUAAACAAGCCAUCACUAUCGGAGGAGCCCGCGGCCCAUCAGCUAGUUGGCGGGGUAACGGCCCACCAAGGCAACGACGGGUAGCUGGUCUGAGAGGACGAUCAGCCACACUGGAACUGAGACACGGUCCAGACUCCUACGGGAGGCAG